GAUGAAGAACGGAGCGAAAUGCGAUAAGUAAUGUGAAUUGCAGAAUUCAGUGAAUCAUCGAAUCUUUGAACGCACAUUGCGCCCGCUAGUAUUCUGGCGGGCAUGCCUGUCCGAGCGUCAUUUCAACCCUCAAGCCCCCGGGCUUGGUGUUGGGGAUCGGCGAGCCUCCGCGCCCGCCGUCCCCUAAAUCUAGUGGCGGUCUCGCUGUAGCUUCCUCUGCGUAGUAGCACACCUCGCACUGGGAAACAGCGCGGCCACGCCGUUAAACCCCCAACUUCUGAACGUUUGACCUCGGAUCAGGCAGGAAUACCCGCUGAACUUAAGCAUAUCAAUAAGCGGAGGA
rnacentral:misc_RNA from 1 species